rnacentral:lncRNA from 1 species
CUAACUGAGUUUUAGUUCCAAAGUUGGGAUGCAACGAAAUACACGAAACUAUGUUUAUGGAGUCGUUCCUAACGACGCACAAAAUCUUUUGUAGUUCAAAGUCCGGAUACAACGAAAUACACAAAAGUAGGUUUAUGGAAACCUUCAAACAAACCAAUAACUAUGUUGUAGUUCCAAAGUCCGGUUACAACGAAAUACAGGAAACUAGGUUUAUGGAAUCAAAUAUAAAUAAGCACUAACAGAGUUUUAGUUCCAAAGUCCGUAUACUACGAAAUACACAAAACUAGGUUUAUGGAAUCGUUCAUAACGACCCACUAACUCUCUUGUAGUUUAAGAUCCGGAUAUAUCGAAAUACACAAAACUAGGUUUUUGGAAUCGUUUAUAACAACCCAAUAACACUGUUGUAGUUCCAAAGUCCAUAUACAACGAAAUACACAAAACCAGGUUUAUGGAAAAUUUCAAACAACUCAAUAACUCUGUUGUAGUUCCAAAGUCCGGAUACAACGAAAUACAAGGAACAAGGUUUAUGUAAUCAUCAAUAAAUAAGUACUAAUUGUGUUUCACAUCCAAAGUCCGGAUACAACGAAUUACACAACAGUGGGUUAAUGGAAUCGUUCAUAACUACUCACUAACUCUGUUGUAGUUCAAAGUCCAGUUAAAACGAAAUAC